GGAGGAUGUUCGGCCUGGCCUUAAGGUCCACUGGAUGGCCAAAUCUUUGUUGGCUAUGUCCUUUGGAGAACCCAGCCCUUGAUGUGGGACAAUCGACUGUACAUUUGGGCAGAAGGUUUCGCAGUGAGUCCCACUGCAAUGUAUCCCGUGGAGUCUCCUCUAAGUUCGAACGACAGGAUGGAUUUAAGUCAGUAAACGUCUGCGCUAGUGCUCGAUGGUGGUGAUGAAGGGGGGCUUUUUCUAGCAUCCUGAAGAGGAGGCGUGGCCUGGGAAGAUUUUCACCUGACUACCUGUUUGGAAGGUGUGUACUUCAGGAAGCUCUUUCACUGAAACAAGCCUCGUCAUUGUUGAGUUUCUGGUUUAAUGAACAGGAUUUGUUGUCCCCACAAAGCACCACCAUUUUGUAUUUAUCCAAGAGCUUACUGUAGUUCAAAGUUUAUAUUAUAUAUUAUUAUAACAGAUAGCCCUAUCAACCUAAAAUAUAAUCUGUGAUAAAGACUUUGUAGACUUUAUUAUGAAAUCAGUUUGAAAUAAAAAAGAUUUCACUAUUGGUUAUAACUGAGGUUACUAGCUGUUUUAAAUGUUUUCUUUUAUACAAUUCACUCAAUUAUCUGCACGUUAAACAUGAAGUCAGCAAUUUCAGGGGAUUUUGCUUUUCUUUCAUAAAUAUACAAGGCAAUUGAGUGUGAAAUGGGAAUUAAAUUAAUGGAGUAAAUGAGCUGUCUACAUUUUGUGAUGUUACUUUAUGUCAAGCCAGAAAGUUGGAUAAGGUUAAUUUUGCAGUACACUGACUGUGCCAUCGUGCAAUAUUACUAGAUUUAACACACCAAAACAGAUGAGGUUUUCCUGUUUGUCCCUGUUAUAUGCUAUUAUACUCCUGUCAAAAGUGA